rnacentral:rRNA from 1 species
GCAGGGAAACAGAUGGACCCACGAAGUCUUGUUGGUGAUGUGGUUCAUUUACUGUUGCACAUCACAAUCGGUGUAUGAUAGUGAAGUUCUUUCAUAUCAUAUACUAUUGGUUAACUGAUGGUAACAGUGAUGCAUUUCACAUCACCACGAUGGAGCUCUGACCUCUAGUCAUUCGAGAUGUCUAGUGUUGAUCUCUGUGUUAGUAAUAGCAAUCACUUGCUUUUACUCUACAUUGAUCAUGAUCUCUUCAUCUAUCGACUAGAGGGUGAAAUGCACUCUUGAUGAGUGUACUCAGAUUGUCUGUAUAUGAUUGGUCUGAUGAACAGAAUGGUUACUCUUAGUGACUAUCGUCUCUUGUAGACGAUACCAUUUCGAACUAGCCAUUCAUUAACGUUCAACUGUACUGCAUAUACAGAUCGACAAUCCAGAGUAAGUAGGUCGGUCAUCCAUCUGACCC